rnacentral:rRNA from 1 species
UACGUAGGGGGCAAGCGUUGUCCGGAUUUAUUGGGCGUAAAGAGCGUGUAGGCGGCCAGGUAGGUCUGCUGUGAAAACUCGAGGCUUAACCUCGAGAUGUCGGCGGAAACCAUCUGGCUAGAGUCCGGAAGAGGAGAAUGGAAUUCCCGGUGUAGCGGUGAAAUGCGCAGAUAUCAGGAGGAACACCGGUGGCGAAGGCGGAUCUCUGGGCCGAUACUGACGCUGAGGAGCGAAAGCGUGGGGAGCGAACAGG